rnacentral:rRNA from 1 species
UACGGGGGGGGCAAGCGUUGUUCGGAAUUACUGGGCGUAAAGGGCUCGUAGGCGGCCAACUAAGUCAGACGUGAAAUCCCUCGGCUUAACCGGGGAACUGCGUCUGAUACUGGAUGGCUUGAGAUUGGGAGAGGGAUGCGGAAUUCCAGGUGUAGCGGUGAAAUGCGUAGAUAUCGUGAGGAACACCAGUGGCGAAGGCGGCAUCCUGGCCUGUAACUGACGCUGAGACGCGAAAGCGUGGGGAGCAAACCGG